UCUGGAAAGGCGCGCGAUACAGGGUGACAGCCCCGUACACAAAAAUGCACAUGCUGUGAGCUCGAUGAGUAGGGCGGGACACGUGGUAUCCUGUCUGAAUAUGGGGGGACCAUCCUCCAAGGCUAAAUACUCCUGACUGACCGAUAGUGAACCAGUACCGUGAGGGAAAGGCGAAAAGAACCCCGGCGAGGGGAGUGAAAAAGAACCUGAAACCGUGUACGUACAAGCAGUGGGAGCACAGAGCAAUCUGUGUGACUGCGUACCUUUUGUAUAAUGGGUCAGCGACUUAUAUUCUGUAGCAAGGUUAACCGAAUAGGGGAGCCGAAGGGAAACCGAGUCUUAACUGGGCGUUAAGUUGCAGGGUAUAGACCCGAAACCCGGUGAUCUAGCCAUGGGCAGGUUGAAGGUUGGGUAACACUAACUGGAGGACCGAACCGACUAAUGUUGAAAAAUUAGCGGAUGACUUGUGGCUGGGGGUGAAAGGCCAAUCAAACCGGGAGAUAGCUGGUUCUCCCCGAAAGCUAUUUAGGUAGCGCCUCGUGAAUUCAUCUCCGGGGGUAGAGCACUGUUUCGGCAAGGGGGUCAUCCCGACUUACCAACCCGAUGCAAACUGCGAAUACCGGAGAAUGUUAUCACGGGAGACACACGGCGGGUGCUAACGUCCGUCGUGAAGAGGGAAACAACCCAGACCGCCAGCUAAGGUCCCAAAGUCAUGGUUAAGUGGGAAACGAUGUGGGAAGGCCCAGACAGCCAGGAUGUUGGCUUAGAAGCAGCCAUCAUUUAAAGAAAGCGUAAUAGCUCACUGGUCGAGUCGGCCUGCGCGGAAGAUGUAACGGGGCUAAACCAUGCACCGAAGCUGCGGCAGCGACGCUUAUGCGUUGUUGGGUA
rnacentral:rRNA from 1 species